UACGAAGGGGGCUAGCGUUGUUCGGAAUCACUGGGCUUAAAGGGCGCGUAGGCGGGCUGUCAAGUCUGGGGUGAAAUCCCGCGGCUCAACCGUGGAACUGCCUUAGAUACUGACGGCCUCGAGGGAGGUAGGGGCGAGCGGAACUGUGAGUGGAGCGGUGAAAUGCGUUGAUAUUCACAGGAACUCCGGUGGCGAAGGCGGCUCGCUGGACCUUUUCUGACGCUGAGGCGCGAAAGCUAGGGGAGCAAACGGG
rnacentral:rRNA from 1 species